rnacentral:rRNA from 1 species
AUUGAACGCUGGCGGCAUGCCUUACACAUGCAAGUCGAACGGCAGCACGGGAGCAAUCCUGGUGGCGAGUGGCGAACGGGUGAGUAAUAUAUCGGAACGUGCCCAGUCGUGGGGGAUAACGUAGCGAAAGCUACGCUAAUACCGCAUACGAUCUAUGGAUGAAAGCGGGGGGAUCGCAAGACCUCGCGCGAUUGGAGCGGCCGAUAUCAGAUUAGGUAGUUGGUGAGGUAAAGGCUCGCCAAGCCGACGAUCUGUAGCUGGUCUGAGAGGACGACCAGCCACACUGGGACUGAGACACGGCCCAGACUCCUACGGAGGCAGCAGUGGGGAAUUUUUGGGACAAUGGGCGCAAGCCUGAUCCAGCAAUNCGCGUGCAGGAUGAAGCCUGG